UGAGGCGAAAUAGGGCGCUGGGUGGGAAAUCCUAGGCGCGCUUUUUUUUUUUCCCCUCUUCUCGUCAUGUCUUUUAUCUGUUUAGAUUCUGGCCGCGUUACGAAAGGUAAUUGAACAUUGAUUAUGUAUCGGAACAUUCUGAGUGCUGAAAUUACCUUCUGCAUAGAUUGAGCGGUCACAGAGUGAAACACAGAACACAAUGUGCAUAUAAGAUUAUUCACAAGGACACUUAUUGAAAGGAAACUUUGUACCCUUUUUUGGACACAUUUACAAGUAUGGACAUUAUCAGGAAUCUAGAUGGGACUUGUGAUUUGGAUACAUUGGCUCAGCCUUCCAAAAUUGAAUGGAUUGGAACACAUUUGGGACACUUGCAACACAAUUAAUGAUCACUAAUGGACACAGUUGUUCCCGCCCAACACCACCACUGUUUCCCCACCCACAAUUCACUCUAUUUAACACAGAACAGUAUGUGAUUUCACAGGCUUAAGAAAGGGUCCUGUGAGGCCCGAAAUGUUGCCACAUGUCUGCUCACAUUUGAGCCAAUAAAAAACACCUUUGAAUAUUAUACAAUUUGCAGUGUGCUGCAGUAUAUUGGACUUUUACUAGGGCAUAGAGGAGGGGCAGGCAAUAACUGAUUGACAGCUGAGAUUUUUAAAUGCCGCUUUGAAUUGUUUAAUAAAAAAAAAUUGGAUUCAAUGUUUAAUUUGAAAAGGACUUUUAUUAUUCCUGACCUACUUUUUAUAACCAACCACUGAAAGGGAGGGUUAAUGGGCAUCUGUUCAGAUUAUCUCCAUAUCAUUAUCUCCAUAUCUCAGGCAUGAGACAAGUAUGGGUUUCUUUAGCCACUCUAAGGGUAAAGUCACAU